AAGAACGAAAUCACAAAUCGACGUCGAAGUCGACCUCGCAAUGUUUCCUUCAAGUGUUCCUACAACUCCUAAUUUUCAGGAAUUCCACAUUUUCAAACUCCUGAAUGUUGUGGACCCGCUGAACUCCCUCUUUCUUUUCUGCUUUCUUGGUGCCUGGAGCCGCCGUGGCUCUGGAGAUUAACGGUGUCCGAUUAUAGUUAGGGGUGAUUGAUAUCCGUGAGGAGGAAAUUUUAGGUAGAAAAGGUAUAGUAGAGGCAUAAGAAAGAAGAGGAAGAAGCUUUGGGUGUGGGGAAAGAGAGAUAGGGAUUUGAAUAGUAGAUUAUUGGUGAGUGUAGCCAUGACUGACGAAGAAUGAACUCUAAAACUUAGAUUUCCCCAAUUUCAUUUUCACAAUUGUUGAGAGAAUAUGACUUUUUGAUAAUAAGAAUUCUCAGUUUUGUUCUUUCUAUAAUUGAAUUUUCACUCUUUUAAUUUAAUUUUUUAAUUCAAAACCUACGUGGCG
rnacentral:lncRNA from 1 species